UCGUCAGCGCGGGGCGUGAGAUGUUGGGUUAAGUCCCGCAACGAGCGCAACCCUUAAGCUUAGUUGCCAUCAUUAAGUUGGGCACUCUAAGUUGACUGCCGGUGACAAACCGGAGGAAGGUGGGGAUGACGUCAAAUCAUCAUGCCCCUUAUGAUUUGGGCUACACACGUGCUACAAUGGACAAUACAAAGGGCAGCGAAACCGCGAGGUCAAGCAAAUCCCAUAAAGUUGUUCUCAGUUCGGAUUGUAGUCUGCAACUCGACUACAUGAAGCUGGAAUCGCUAGUAAUCGUAGAUCAGCAUGCUACGGUGAAUACGUUCCCGGGUCUUGUACACACCGCCCGUCACACCACGAGAGUUUGUAACACCCGAAGCCGGUGGAGUAACCUUUUAGGAGCUAGCCGUCGAAGGUGGGACAAAUGAUUGGGGUGAAGUCGUAACAAGGUAGCCGUAUCGGAAGGUGCGGCUGGAUCACCUCCUUUCUAAGGA
rnacentral:rRNA from 1 species